UCGGGAAUUUUGGGCAAUGGGCGAAAGCCUGACCCAGCAACGCCGCGUGAAGGAUGAAGUAUUUCGGUAUGUAAACUUCGAAAGAAUAGGAAGAAUAAAUGACGGUACUAUUUAUAAGGUCCGGCUAACUACGUGCCAGCAGCCGCGGUAAUACGAAGGGGGACUAGCGUUGUUCGGAAUCACUGGGCGUAAAGCGCACGUAGGCGGAUUUGUAAGUCAGGGGUGAAAUCCCGGGGGCUCAACCUCGGAACUGCCCUUGAUACUGCAAAUCUCGAGUCCGAUAGAGGUGAGUGGAAUUCCUAGUGUAGAGGUGAAAUUCGUAGAUAUUAGGAAGAACACCAGUGGCGAAGGCGGCUCACUGGAUCGGUACUGACGCUGAGGUGCGAAAGCGUGGGGAGCAAACAGGAUUAGAUACCCUCGUAGUCCCUGAGCGGGCUGGCAAGGCGCAU
rnacentral:rRNA from 1 species